rnacentral:misc_RNA from 1 species
GAUGAAGAACGUAGCGAAAUGCGAUAAGUAAUGUGAAUUGCAGAAUUCAGUGAAUCAUCGAGUCUUUGAACGCACAUUGCGCCCCCUGGUAUUCCGGGGGGCAUGCCUGUCCGAGCGUCAUUGCUGCCCUCAAGCACGGCUUGUGUGUUGGGCCCCGUCCUCCGAUCCCGGGGGACGGGCCCGAAAGGCAGCGGCGGCACCGCGUCCGGUCCUCGAGCGUAUGGGGCUUGUCACCCGCUCUGUAGGCCCGGCCGGCGCUUGCCGAUCAACCCAAAUUUUUAUCCAGGUUGACCUCGGAUCAGGUAGGGAUACCCGCUGAACUUAAGCAUAUCAAUAAGCGGAGGA